AGUGGCUGACUUCUGGCUGAAAUCUGGAGCUGUUACAGAAAAAAGUUGCCAGGGUUUAUCUGUCUGUGGUUCAAAUGCAAGGUGAAGUGGGUGAAUAUCAGACAGCUCAUUAUAGAGACAAGCAUGCUGCAUUCCCAAAGUAGGAUGACAGAACAAGUCAUGGAGUCAUGGAUGUUAAAGGAGACAUUAAUCAGGUGUUGUGAAUGAUCUGAUACCAGCUUUGGUCAAAGGGGUCGAGUGUCAUCCUGAGAGUGCUCCUCUCUGGGACAGGAAACCGACGGAGCAAAGCCCUGAGAACAUGCUGCAACACUUCAUACUCAAUCCACAGCCCUAUAAAGAGAUGAAAAAUGAGCCUUGUCCAAAGCUCUUACCUCAGCACCCAGUGGCAAAAAUAAAAUGUGGGCUUGGGACCAGGUCUCUUUGAAGCUGGUUUUUUUAUUUUUUUUUAAAACUCUGCAACAGGCCUCCGGUGGUUACAGGUAUUGAUCGACAGAAAGUAAUCUGUUCAUGUUUGGGGGCAUGCCAGACCGAAUCCUGGAGUACAUUCCUUCCUCUCCAAGGACAUGUUGAGCUUUUUAUACUGUCCACACUGGCUCACUUGUCAGGCAUCUAACUUCUUUGUCUUUAGUGCUUUCCCUGUUUGUGGGAAGCAUAUAAUUAAACCUCCCUUAUAAAAAUAUUAUACAUUACUACUCUAGAAUUUUCUUCCAAUGCUGAAGGUUUUUUACUCUAGUUUUUAAACCCUCAUUUUUCUUGUAUAACCAUUAUUUGAUUCCCUCUGGCUGCCUACUACUUAUUUGUAGUAGUACCAUUCAUUCAUUGAGACUUUUCCAUCUGUCACACAGUUUUGCUUUCUCUCCCCAGAAGCUUUCUUCUCCUACUGUGCCAUGCUUGAUUUUUUGGGUCUAGUUGUAUGUUUGUAUGCUCUUUUUAGUAUUUUAAAAAAUGUUUUAGUAUUAAGAACAAAUACAAAAAGAAGAGAAAAAAGAAAGCAUAGCACAAGAGCAGCUCGAACCCAACAUUGCACACAGAGGCAGGAUGAGGAGACCGAGAUUCCAGGUGAAUUAAGGAAUCAACUGUUCUACUAGGGCAGAACUAGUGGCCAGACCCUGCUCUCCCUGUGUUGCCUUCAAAAUCUUUCCAGUUUUGUGUUAGAUAAAUAGGUGAUGUCAGGAAGUGUUGCAUUCCCUUUGCUGUACUGACUCUCGAUGUAUUGAUUAUAAAGACUAUCUGAGGAAAACCAAACAUACUGAGGUACAAUACUGUGAUUACUUAAGGAAAAGAAUCUUUUAAAGGGCCAAACAGUCCCUUACUGAAACAAGAUCAGAAUUCCAUCUUACAUUUAAAAUUAAAAGCCAUUUUCAUUUGCAGAGUUUAGGUAUUAAAGAAGUGCAGCAUUUGCUAGUGUGAUCUAAAUGGGAAGUGUGUCCAGCAUAUCUUAGUUUUUGAUGUGAGCAAGAAUAGGAGAUUUUACAAGUGCUCUACAGAUUUAACUUGCAAUUGAAUCAAAUCUCAAAUCAUGAGUCUUGGAGAACACCUCACAAAAUUACAUACUUCAAAUAAUAUGGUUUGAAUUUCUCCUUAUUAAUUUUCUCUUAUUUUCCUCUUACACUUCUCAUUGUAUCUUCUUGUGUUCUUGUUUCAAAAGUUCCUGCAGGUUUAUCAUGAUUAUUAGGAUUAGUAAAAAGUUUGUAUUUUGUUCUGGAAAAUCUUUUUUUUUUUCAGUAGAAAUGCUUUCAUUGUUUAUAAAAUUACUUCUCUGGCUAUAUAGAUAGUGAUGAUAGUAUCCAAGCAAAUAGAAAAGCUCUGUGUGUGUCCUGAUUUGAAUGGCAACCCUCAGAAAGUUUCCUUUUCUACCAGCUAUUUCAUUGCACUGUUCUGAGAAUGAAGGGGAUGGAAAAAAAAAAUCAGACUCUUCAGUAUACACUUGUGUAGGCAGAUGUCUGAAAAUGUAGGUAUUUUACAAAAAUCCUAUUUGUAAAGUGUUGUCCUAUGAAAGUAAGGGUCAUUCAGACCAAACUCUUACUUUACCUGAACUUUAUCAUGUUUUGAAAGGAAAAUAAAUAGUUUCUUUUCUGGGAUAAUUUAUAGGAAACAAAAUGAGUGAGAAGGGAAAAGGGGCAGGAAUGGGAGAGUGUAGUGGGGGAAAAAAAAGUGGUUUUCCCCUGGAGUUAAAAAAUGGUAACCCCCAAGGGGGGUGGUGUCAGAAGAUGUUGACCCAAUCAGUGCCCCUGCAAAAUUUAAACAUAUUACACCAGACCGGAAAAGAAGGAUGAUGAGGUAGUUGGAGGAAAAGUGGCCAUGUUUUGAGACCACAAGGAGAGAGACCCUGGCUGGGGUCGUAGAAACUCGGAAACAGUGUUAAACUGGACUGGGUUCUGUGACUGAAGAGCUGGAGGAGUCUUUCUCCACUGUGAGUGGGCAGCAGGAUUGGCGGCAGAGAAAGCACUGAGCAGAGAACUGUGGCCGAAGGCCAAAAGAGAUAAGAGGGAAGCAGCAAAGAUGGCAUGAAGCAAUGCAGAGAGAUAUUCUGCAAGGAGAGAGAGAGAGCUGGCAACAGAGCAGAGAAAGCUCAACCAAGACAG